rfam:Hordeum vulgare subsp. vulgare, WGS project CAJW01000000 data, contig: morex_contig_45989
AAUAUACUCCCUCCGUCCCAAAAUUCUUGUCUUAAAUUUAUCUAGAUAUAGAUGUAUCUAUAUACUAAAAUGUGACUAGAUACAUCUAUAUCUAGAUAAAUCCAAGACAAUAAUUUUGGGACGGAGGGAGUAUUAA